GACGAACGCUGGCGGCGUGCUUAACACAUGCAAGUCGAACGAUGAAGAAGAGCUUGCUCUUCGGAUUAGUGGCGAACGGGUGAGUAGCACGUGACUAACCUGCCCCUUUCUCUGGGAUAACGCUCCGAAAGGAGUGCUAAUACCGGAUACUCACAUCGAGGCACAUGCCUUGAUGUGGAAAGUUUUUCGGAAAGGGAUGGAGUCGCGGCCUAUCAGCUUGUUGGUGAGGUAACGGCUCACCAAGGCGACGACGGGUAGCCGGCCUGAGAGGGCGACCGGCCACACUGGGACUGAGACACGGCCCAGACUCCUACGGGAGGCAGCAGUGGGGAAUAUUGCACAAUGGGCGAAAGCCUGAUGCAGCGACGCCGCGUGAGGGAUGAAGGUCUUCGGAUUGUAAACCUCUUUCAGUAGGGACGAAGCGAAAGUGACGGUACCUAAAGAAAAAGCACCGGCUAACUACGUGCCAGCCGCCGCAGUAA
rnacentral:rRNA from 1 species